rnacentral:lncRNA from 1 species
GAGGAGCGGCGAUUCCAAAAAAGGAAAAGAAGAACACCAUCCAUUUCAGUAGCUAAAGUUUUUUAGCCAUUUUGAUUUUCUCGUAAACAAGACCAAAAGGAGACCCAAAAAUCGAGAUGGCCAUUCUUGAAUUCUCAAAACACACACACGACAAAGAAUAUAAGCUUUUCUGAAGAACAAAAAUCGAGAUGGCCAUUCUUCAAUUUUGUACAUAGACACUAUUCUGAUCUACACUGAAAUCUGAGGCAUCCGUCGAGGUCGCCGGUGAGGUAUUUAUAAUUUUUACCCCUUUGAUCUUCCUAUGAUUUUUGAGUAUCAGUAAUUGUAUUGUUGAAGAACUGAAGUCGUAUUUGGACCGUUGGAACUGUCUGCCUGCUUGUUCUGUGUAUAAAUGGAUCUAUAUUUUGUUGAGAUACAUGACAAUUGUGUGUUCCACUUGCUCUACUGUUAUGCGAUUGAUCACUUUUCUAAUGUUUGAGAAUUGGCUAAUCGUGUGACUCUUACGAAAGGUUGGUUGUUGCUUCUUGGCAGUGAUUCGUUGGUUUGAUAAAAUAAUUGCGCUUUGAACUUGUGAUGUUGCAGUAAUCUGCUUUUGAGUGUUAAUCAUUAAUUUUCCUCAAAGUUCUGAAGCUAACGAAGUAAAUUUUUGUUACUGAUUUGUUGGUUUUUUUAGUUAUUGGAAUGGAAGUCAAUAAAGUUGAAUACUUUUCCCAAUCCAUUAAUUGUUCAACCGUUUGAGGAAUAAAGAUAACUUUUUUUUUAAUUACUUAGUUGUUGAUUUUCAGUUGUUGGGAUGAAAGUAAAAUAAUUUGAUUGGUAUUCACCAUGAUCUUACUAUCCGGACCUCAAUUUUUGUUCUCUAAGCUUUUUAAAUCAAUUUAUUUAGAAUAUAAUCCUAAAGCAAAAUCAGCUAUCCGAAUAGACUCCAAUUAUUUAGAAUUUUGACGCGAUUCGCAAUGUGUACAAAACAUACGAGCGCGCGUCAUCGCGACUUGUUCAAACUAAAAUUCGGGGGUGCAUUUCAUGUUACCCGAUUCUAAUUUCCAACAAGGUAAAUAAAGUGUGUCGUGAACCGCGGGUGCAUUUCAUGUAGAGUGGCUUAUGAUGUGUUUUACAUAACCUUGAGAUUUCCUGAAAUAGUAAAAGCAGUUUCAAAAGUUAAAAUACACAUAGGUUCAAAAGUAUUUUAAAAUCAAAUAAAUAGGCCGAUAAUAACAGUUGAGCGACCAUGCUAAAACCACGGAACUCGGGAAUGCCUGACACCUUCUCCCGGGUUAACAGAAUUCCUUACCCGGAUUUCUAUGUUCGCAGACCAUAAAUAAGAGUCAACUUCCCCGAUUCGGGAUUUUAAACCGGUGACUUGGGACACCACAAAUUAUCCCAAGUGGCGACUCUGAAUUUGAAUAAAUAAUCCCGUUUCGAUCAUUGUCACUUUAAGUUGAAAAAAACUCCCUUAUGCUCCCUUCCGGGAUAGUAAAAAAAUAGGUAUGACAUGGAGUUAGCACGCCGUAUGCAUCAGCAUCAUCAUGUAAUACUUUCUUCCUCCAAUACAUGUCGGACCCGUUUCCCGUGUGUAACUAUAACCUUUGAAAUUUUCUUGGCUGUCGUGUAUGUCACGCCGUUAAUUUCUUCUCCCCUGCUUAUAACAUUGACGGUCCUUUUUGGAGAAAUAGGUUUAAGGGGCUCCUGCUUGUUCUUCAUGCAUGCUUGUUUACCUUUUUCACUAAACAAUUCAGUAAGAUAUCUUUGUUUUAAUAAAUGGUCAACUUCACCUUGCAGCAAUCUACAAUCUGCCGUUUUUUGACCAUGAUCAUUAUGAAACUCGCACCAGAAAUUAGGAUUUCGUCUAUUUGGAUUUGAUCUAUUUCUUUUGGCCACCGCACCUUAUCACCCAUGCUUCUUAAUACUGCUACUAAUUCUGAUGUGCUGACAUUGAAAUUGUAACCGCCAAAUUUUGCCUUCGAGCUUCUGUCAUUAUCUCGCGUCUUUCGUGCAUUUCGCUCUUUCCCAAACCUUGACGAUGAGCCCGACUCUCUAUUUCUAGAUCUAUGAUCAUACCUUGGAUUGUCUUAAUUUGAACGUGAGUCUCUUCCUAUUGGACCCAUGUAAGGCUCGUAUCUAUUUUUACCGGACCUUUUUUCAGUUUCAGCAUGUCUCGAACUUACCCUCUCUUCUUUUUGAGACUGGGAGAUGGUAUCUUCUUCUAUCCUCAGCUUCGUGUUGUAUCUAUUGUAAACAUCAUUCCAAUUUGUCACUGGGAAUUCGCGUAGACUUUUCUUGAGUCGUCUCGUGGCUUUUGAACUUUUCUCAUUUAAAUUACUGGCAAAAGCCAUAGCUGCCUAGUUAUCAAGUGCGUGUGGUAACAUAAUCCUUUCACGCUGGAAUCUGUCCACGAAUUCUCUAAGCAGUUCUGAAUCUCCUUGCUUUAUUUUGAAUAUAUCUUCCAUUCUUUUUUUGAUUUUUUGAGCUCCCGAAUGUGCUUUGAUAAAUGAAUAUGCAAGCUCAGCAAAAGAAUGUAUAGAAUUUUCGGGCAAAAGAGAAUACCGUGUUAAAGCUCCCUUAGUGAGUGUUUCACUGAAUGUUUUGACCAACACUGAUUCAAUUUCUUGUUUGGUUAAAUUGUUUCCAUUCACGCCAGUUGUGAAUGCAAUCACGUGAUUUCGUGGAUCAGUUGUGUCAUCAUAUUUUG